UACAGAGGGUGCAAGCGUUAAUCGGAAUGACUGGGCGUAAAGGGUACGUAGGCGGUAAAUUAAGUUGGAUGUGAAAUAUCCGGGCUCAACCUGGAAGCUGUCAUCCAAAACUGGUUUACUAGAGUAUAAUAGAGGAAAGUGGAAUUUCCGGUGUAGCGGUGAAAUGCGUAGAUAUCGGAAGGAAUAUCAGUGGCGAAGGCGGCUUUCUGGAUUAAUACUGACGCUGAGGUACGAAAGCGUGGGGAGCAAACAGGAUUAGAUACCCCCGUA
rnacentral:rRNA from 1 species